GACGAACGCUGGCGGCGUGCUUAACACAUGCAAGUCGAACGCUGAAGCUCAGCUUUUGUUGGGUGGAUGAGUGGCGAACGGGUGAGUAACACGUGAGUAACCUGCCCCCUUCUUUGGGAUAACGCCCGGAAACGGGUGCUAAUACUGGAUAUUCACUGGUCUUCGCAUGGGGGUUGGUGGAAAGGGUUUUUCUGGUGGGGGAUGGGCUCGCGGCCUAUCAGCUUGUUGGUGGGGCGAUGGCCUACCAAGGCUUUGACGGGUAGCCGGCCUGAGAGGGUGACCGGUCACAUUGGGACUGAGAUACGGCCCAGACUCCUACGGGAGGCAGCAGUGGGGAAUAUUGCACAAUGGGCGCAAGCCUGAUGCAGCGACGCCGCGUGAGGGAUGGAGGCCUUCGGGUUGUGAACCUCUUUCGCUCAUGGUCAAGCCGCAACAAUGGUUGUGGUGAGGGUAGUGGGUAAAGAAGCGCCGGCUAACUACGUG
rnacentral:rRNA from 1 species